rnacentral:lncRNA from 1 species
GGCCCAGGUUUGGGGAGGAGGCCAUACUCCCCAGAUCUAUGCAGUCCCCCUGGAGCUCCAUGUUUUGAGGGCUCUGGAAGAAUCUGAAGAUGGUGGUGGCGAGGAUGUUGGUGUCUCAUGUUGGGUUCUGUCAGCCCGGGCAGCCGAAGGGCUCCCUCAGGUGGUUUUUUGGGCUGUGGGUGUCAGAGCAGGAACGGAUCAUGUUGGGCUCUUAGUGGUGGGUGAUGGCAGAAACACCUCAUAGGUACUUAAAGAGGCAUCCAAUUUCCUACUUAGAUAGGUGGAUGUGGGGUGGGGCAUGGAGUCAUUUUAAUUGGGCCAUAAGUGUAAAUUAGACCUUAUUUUGUAGACCCAGGAUGCUGAGGACAGCAGACAUUUGUCACAUAUAAUAACUGUACUUUCCUUGCCAGCAAUUGAGAGGAGAGAGACAACGAGGAGAAGUUGAAUCUAAUGGAUUAUUCCAAAGGCCAGAGCCCUUCAAAAGAAAAAGGCUGGAGUCCUUAAUAGGACGCCAAGGCCCUCAUGAACGAGCCCCUGAGCACCCACCCUGUGUAGCCUCCUGGCAGGCUCCCCUCUCCGCACACCUUCUCCUCCCCAGCCCUCUUCGGGGUGAUCUUCCUAAACCUAGUAUCACCCCAAUACUCCUCCACUUUGCAACCUUUGACGGCUCCUGCAUUGCCUCUAGAUGGUCCCAAUUCUUUAGCAUGGAGUAUGAGCUCCUUCACAACCUGGCGUCUUCCCUCCUACCACUCUAGAUUCAUCUCUUCUUAUUCAUCUUCUCCAAUAUUAUGUUCCAGCCCCACGAGAUCAUUGACUGAAUACGAAUGCACCUGGGUAUGCUGACUCCUCUGCUCACAGUGUCCUUCUCCUGUCCUCUAUCUGGUGAAACUUCUCUUUCCAAAGAAUUCGCUCAAGCACCAUAGCCCCUGGGAAGCAUUUGGGGAUCCACCCGAGGGUGAUCUGAGCAUUCCUUCCCAUCUUCAUGCCCACACUUACUUUGUCAUCUCCCUUUAUUAUGCACCUAGAAUUCACGGUGACCUUUAUUUGUUUCCCCCACUGGAUGGUGACAUUCUGGAGGUCUGAACUCGGUAUUAAUCAUCUCUGUAUGCUUAGAGAUAUUCGAGUACAGAGUGACAUCCUAAAGAGACUUGUUUAGGGAACAAAGGG